rnacentral:rRNA from 1 species
UACGGGGGGGGCAAGCGUUGUUCGGAAUUACUGGGCGUAAAGGGCUCGUAGGCGGCCAACUAAGUCGGAUGUGAAAUCCCCAGGCUUAACCUGGGAAUUGCAUCCGAUACUGGAUGGCUUGAAUCCGGGAGAGGGAUGCGGAAUUCCAGGUGUAGCGGUGAAAUGCGUAGAUAUCUGGAGGAACACCGGUGGCGAAGGCGGGACUCUGGGCCGAUACUGACGCUGAGGAGCGAAAGCGUGGGGAGCAAACAGG